AACUCAACGGUUAAAAAUUACUCUAGAGAUAACAGGGCGAUCUUCCCCAAGAGUCCACACUAAGGGAAGGUUUGGCACCUCGAUGUCGGCUCUCCGCCACCUGGAGCUGGAGGUUGUUCCAAGGGUUGGGUUGUUCGUCCAUUAAUGUUGUACGUGAGCUCGGUUCAGAACGUCGUGAGAUAAUUCGGUCUGUAUCCAGUGUGGGCAUUAGAGCAUUGAGAUGACAUUUCCCUAGUACGAGAGGACCGGGAAUGGCGCACCACCUCUGGUGUACCAGUUAUUGUGCCUACAGUAAACGUUGUGUAGCCAAGUGCGGAGAGGGUAAAUUGUCGAAAGCAUAUAAGUAGUAAGCCCACCCCAAGAUGAGUGCUCUCCCCUUCGACUUCCCUAGAGCCUCUGGUAUCAUAGUCGAGAGUGCAAUGAGUUCUCCACCCAUACGGAGAUGGAGCGAUAGAUGUAUAAAAAUAUGAUAAGAUAGCGACAAGACGAUAAGUAGGUGCCAAAUGGAAAGUGCAUCGUAUACAACUAAGGCAUCCUAAGGAACGAACGAUUUGAAUCUUGUUCCUACACGACCUGAUCAAAUCGAUCAGGCACUU
rnacentral:rRNA from 2 species